AUUGAACGCUGGCGGCAGGCCUAACACAUGCAAGUCGAGCGAGCGGCGGACGGGUGAGUAAUGUCUGGGGAACUGCCUGAUGGAGGGGGAUAACUACUGGAAACGGUAGCUAAUACCGCAUACCAUCAGAUGAUCCCAGGUGGGAUUAGCUAGUAGGUGGGGUAACGGCUCACCUAGGCGACGAUCCCUAGCUGGUCUGAGAGGAUGACCAGCCACACGGGAACUGAGACACGGUCCAGACUCCUACGGGAGGCAGCAGUGGGGAAUAUUGCACAAUGGGCGCAAGCCUGAUGCAGCCAUGCCGCGUGUAUGAAGAAGGCCUUCGGGUUGUAAAGCACUUUCAGUGGGGAGGCGUUACCCGCAGAAGAAGCACCGGCUAACUCCGUGCCAGCAGCCGCGGUAAUAC
rnacentral:rRNA from 1 species